CAUCUGGGGACGCUCUUCGUUCUCAGCGCCCAGCCCAGCUUCCUUCAAAAUGUAUACUAUUCACGAAAUCCUGUGCAAGCUCAGCUUGGAGGGUGAUCACUCCCUCCAAGUGCACUGGAUCAGUCAAAACCUCCACCAGCUUUGAUGCUGUGUGGGAUGCCUUGAACAUUGAAAGAACCAUCAAGACCGAAGGUGUGGAUGACGUCACCAUUGUCAACAUCUUGACCAACAGGAGGAAUGCUCAGAGACAGGAUAGUGCUUUUGCCUGGCAGAGAAGGACCAAAAAGGAACUUGCAUCAGCACUGAAGUCAGCCUUAUCUGGCCACCUGGAGAUGGUGAUAUGGGGCUUAUUGAACACACCUGCUCAGUAUGAUGAUGCUGAGCUAAAGCUUCCAUGAAGGGGCUGGGAACCGACGAGGACUCCCUUGUUGAGAUCAUCUGCUCAACAACCAACCAGGAGCUCCAGGAAAUUAACAGAGUUUACAAGGAAAUGUACAAAACUGAUCUGGAGAAGGACAUUAUUUUGGACAAUAUGGUGACUUCUGCAAGCUGAUGGUUGCCCUGGCAAAGGUUAGAAGAGCAGAGGAUGGCUCUGUCAUUGAUUAUGAACUGAUUGACCAAGAUGCCCGGGAUUUCUGUGACGCUGGAGUGAAGAGGAAAGGAACUGAUGUUCCCAAGUGGAUCAGUAUCAUGACCAAGCAGACCGUGUCCCACCUCCAGAAAUUAUUUGAUAGGUACAAGAGCUACAGCCCAUGAAGAGAGAGCGUCUAGAAAGAGGUUACAGGAGACCUGGAAAAUGCUUUCAUGAACCUGGUCCAGUGCAUUCAGAAUAAGCCCCUGUAUUUUGCUGAUUGAGUGUACUACUCCAUGAAGGGCAAGGGGAUUCGAGAUAAGGUCCUGAUCAGAAUCAUGGUCUCCCGCAGUGAAGUGGACAUGUUGAAAAUUAGGCCUGAAUUCAAGAGAAAGUAUGGCAAGUCCCUGUACUAUUACAUUCAGCAAGAUACUAAGGGCGACUACUCAGAAACCACUGCUGUACCUGUGCGAUGGAGAUGACUGA